CAGAAGUUAUAUUUAUAAUUAGAAAUUUUUUUUUUUUUCAGAUAUGUUGCCAGUUCUUUGUUUUUAUUUGUAAUGUAACAUUGUGUGGGGAAAAAACUCGUAUAUGUUCAAGCUUUACACCACACAGUUAUGUAUCAUACCCAGAAAAGAUUGGAGAACUGAUGGGAGAUGAAUUUUUUAUUAUUGUCAUACCUGCGGAUUACAUGUGCAUGAAAUGCUCAUCCCUUUUGAUUCAUAUGGACAAGCUGGAAAAUGAUCUGAAACUUGUUAAAAAUGCAAUAUUAACCAACGUACAAAAGAAAUACAGAAUGUUGCCUGCUGAUCAGCCUGAACAUUCCUCUAGUGCUAGUGGAAGUAAUGCUGCAACUAAAAUAAGACAAGACCCUUCAAAUAUAUAACCAGUAACCAUUUAAAGUGUUGUUGUACAAAAAAGAAAGAUAGUGAAAAAUCAAAACAAACUGUGACAAAAACAGUAACCCAGUGCGACGAGGGACAUUGCAACAAAUCUGCAAUAAUAACGUGUAAAUGUAGUAAGGCGAACUACUGUUCUGAUAGCUGCAGAACACGCCACUGGUAUGUGAAGAAAGACAGACUCGAUCCUAAACUUUCCAUUACAUAAAUAAAUAAUUUUAAUGUGAUAUAUUUUAUAUAAGGUUUUUCAUGAAAAUAUUUUUAUUUUUAUGUUUAAAAUAUAACGGAUCAUGUUUUAAUAAUUUAAUAUUUCUUAAAUUUGUAUAAUUAAUAUUAUGAUUGAUUACUAAUAUGCAUAAUCUAAUAUUACUACAUAGUUUUUAGGAUUCUAUGUAUUUUUUAUAUGUACCUACUACAGUCAUUUUUUGUAUUUUUUAUGUUAUAUAUCAACAUUUUUACUAAUUGUAUUGCUAUCUUACCUAGUAUGUUUAUAUACCUAAUUAUACAAAGA